UUAGGUCUCCUGAAGGAACGUUGAAGACGACGACGUUGAUAGGCCGGGUGUGUAAGCGCAGCGAUGCGUUGAGCUAACCGGUACUAAUGAACCGUGAGGCUUAACCUU
rnacentral:rRNA from 1 species